UGGGGAAUUUUGGACAAUGGGCGAAAGCCUGAUCCAGCUAUGCCGCGUGAGUGAAGAAGGCCUUCGGGUUGUAAAGCUCUUUUAGUCGGAAAGAAAGAGUUGCAAUGAAUAAUUGUGAUUUAUGACGGUACCGACAGAAAAAGCACCGGCUAACUACGUGCCAGCAGCCGCGGUAAUACGUAGGGUGCGAGCGUUAAUCGGAAUUACUGGGCGUAAAGGGUGCGCAGGCGGUCUUGCAAGUCAGAUGUGAAAGCCCCGGGCUUAACCUGGGAAUUGCGUUUGAAACUACAAGGCUAGAGUGCAGCAGAGGGGAGUGGAAUUCCAUGUGUAGCAGUGAAAUGCGUAGAGAUGUGGAAGAACACCGAUGGCGAAGGCAGCUCCCUGGGUUGACACUGACGCUCAUGCACGAAAGCGUGGGGAGCAAACA
rnacentral:rRNA from 1 species